rnacentral:rRNA from 1 species
AGAGUUUGAUCAUGGCUCAGGACGAACGCUGGCGGCAGGCUUAACACAUGCAAGUCGAACGGGCACCUUCGGGUGUCAGUGGCAGACGGGUGAGUAACACGUGGGAACGUGCCCUUCGGUUCGGAAUAACUCAGGGAAACUUGAGCUAAUACCGGAUACGCCCUUACGGGGAAAGGUUUACUGCCGAAGGAUCGGCCCGCGUCUGAUUAGCUAGUUGGUGGGGUAAUGGCCUACCAAGGCGACGAUCAGUAGCUGGUCUGAGAGGAUGAUCAGCCACACUGGGACUGAGACACGGCCCAGACUCCUACGGGAGGCAGCAGUGGGGAAUUUUGGACAAUGGGCGCAAGCCUGAUCCAGCCAUGCCGCGUGCGGGAAGAAGGCCUUCGGGUUGUAAACCGCUUUUGUCAGGGAAGAAACGGUCUGGGCUAAUACCCCGGACUAAUGACGGUACCUGAAGAAUAAGCACCGGCUAACUACGUGCCAGCAGCGGCGGUAAUUC